AGUUUUUUUUUUUUUUUUUUUUUUUAGGAAAAAACCUAGUGAAUAUUUUGUUGUUUCUCUUCACUUUAGGGAAAACCUCAGCCAUAAUAAUUGCAUUUUUUUUUUCCUUUAUAAAAACCUGCUUAGGAAAGUCUUUUAUACAGAUAGGCUUUCUGGGAGAUUGAAAAUAGCUAUGAUGCAUGGUUUUUUUUUUCUGUUAUAUCCUGGAAGCCUGUGUUUAAAGUGGACUUUACAAAUACAUGUUCCUAAGGUGCAUAAGCAGGACAACAAAAAUCCAGCCGAAACAGUAUGGAGCUGUGUUCUUGCCAUAUGAACUGGUACCUGACAGUUGCCAAACCUAGGCACCAUCUUCCUAUUGCUUGCUAUAAGAAUUCCAGUUUGGGCCAAGUAAAGGUCAGCUAGGUAUUUUAAAUGUAUGAGUCUUGAAAAUGUCUUCUCUGCUGCCAGUGGGUGUGAAGAGGGAAGGCAGGAACAUGCUUGUUCAAAGGCUGGUGAAUAGCGUUAGUGGACUGCAUAGACGUGAUAGAAAUGUAGUGCAGUUAGCAUCCUCAGCGGUGUAGCCUGGGUGGCCUUCUGCCUUUCCAGAUUUGUUCCUUUAAAGAAAAAUCUGUUUUCCCUCCCUUUAGUUGAGUCUAUAUGUAAUUGUUAUAAUGGGGGGAGGGGUCAGAAACCGUCUUCUUGAAACUCAAAAACAGUUUUAGUAAGUGGAUUAACAGUAAUGGGGUAUUUGAGAUGUUCUGAAUGCCAAAAUUCUUGAAAGAUUUGCCAGAUUAGUAAUUACUUAAUGACUUAAUGUAUGUUAGAAUGUAGGUUACCAAGAAGCAGGAUGACCAAGAAUAGCUCUAUUACUCAUGAGAACACUUGGAGACAUGAAGGUAGAUCUGCUGCAGCAGGAGAGCUGUGGUUGAGCUGCAGAGUCCUGUGGAGCAGCACGAGCCACCACCAGAGCUCAGGAUAGAGGAAGGCCCAGCAGCACUGGCCUCUCACCUUAACUCGCCUCUGCCAAGGUGUUGCGAAAGCUCUGCUGCAUAGCCAGUGCCUUGAGUACAGCUCUGACCUCUCUAAAAGACCUCUCUGGACACAGUCGUGAGAAUCACAGGAAUCCACCUGUCCCUUUCUGCAAGGAGGCGCUGCUGGAGGUACCUGUGUUGUUAGUCACAGUCACACCUGGAGCUGCAAGACCAUUAUUUUCAUGUGCCAGGUGCAGUGUGAGUGAUUACACACAAUGCCUUCCAGCAAGGUCAGCAUUAUAAGACCCAUUUUACUGAAAAGGAAGCUGAGACUCAGAAAGGGUGAAGUGGCUUAUUCAAAACCUUACUGAAAUAAAUAAAUAAAUGGCAGAGCUACGAUCUGAAUCCGGAUCUUAA